rnacentral:rRNA from 1 species
GCUCGUAGUCGGAUGUCGGGCUCGGGGAGGCUGUCGGCCUUUGGUCGGAUGGCAUCUCCGGGCCUUUCUGCCUGGGGAUCCUAUUCUACUUAACUGUAGGGUAGUGGGACGCAGGCCGUUUACUUUGAAAAAAUUAGAGUGUUCAAAGCAGGCCUACGCUUGAAUACAUUAGCAUGGAAUAAUGGAAUAGGACUUUGGUCUUAUUUGUUGGUUUAUGGGACCGAAGUAAUGAUUAACAGGGACAGUUGGGGCCGUUUAUAUUUCGUUGUCAGAGGUGAAAUUCUUGGAUUUACGAAAGAUAAACUUCUGCGAAAGCAUUCGGCAAGGAUGUUUUCAUUGAUCAAGAACGAAAGUUAGGGGAUCGAAGACGAUCAGAUACCGUCGUAGUCUUAACCAUAAACUAUGCCGACUAGGGAUCAGUGGAUGUCAAUUUGCGACUCCAUUGGCACCUUGUGAGAAAUCAAAGUUUUUGGGUUCCGGGGGGAGUAUGGUCGCAAGGCUGAAACUUAAAGGAAUUGACGGAAGGGCACCACCAGGAGUGGAGCCUGCGGCUUAAUUUGACUCAACACGGGGAAACUUACCAGGUCCAGACAUAGUAAGGAUUGACAGAUUGAAAGCUCUUUCUUGAUUCUAUGGGUGGUGGUGCAUGGCCGUUCUUAGUUGGUGGAGUGAUUUGUCUGGUUAAUUC